UCACCCCUUCAUCUCCAAUUCAUCAACCUUAGUUAGAUACCUAAGUUACAGGGUUUCCAAAAAUCACAACUUAUUCAAUCUCUCAAAUCCUUUUCCUAAAUCUGUCAUAUCCUAAAUGUUUACACAAACAAUUAGUCGAAAAAACUCUUUGGGUUUAUGGGGUUGUCGAAUGUUUCAAUCGGAUUGAUUCAGUUUCGCCCAAUCGGUUUUCAUUGUUCAAUUAAUCAAUUGAAUUGUGCGGGGAAUCCAGAUUUGGAAAAUUUCAGUCCAUGUUUGAGCACAGCCACCCACUCUAUAAGUUGCUAAAAGUUAUGAAUAAUUUUUCUUUAAAUUUCCUCGAUUUUACAUGUUCUAACUCUUUCUGUACUGUUCUAUAUCUCCAAUUCAGUUUUGAAAACGAAAAUUGCUAAUAUUAAAAAUAGUAUAUCAUUACCGUAUGUGAUUGUUUGACAUGUUUCCUAUAUUUUUUUGAGUACAUGUGAAAGCCUAUACUAUCAACCGAUGGAUAUAUAUAAAGACAUCAUGAUAUUCGAAAUGGAAUGAGAAGUACUUCCAGUAACCCAGUUUAUUACAAUAGAGUAUAAUGACAUGAAGCCAUAAACAGAGAUUGAUUAACGUUUUUUGGAGGAAGACUUAUUGAUAAGAGAGGAUAAGUUUUAGCAGAGAAAAAAUUGAAGCUUCGUCAAUGACCUUCUCAAAGUCAACCAGUUGGAGGAACAUGUCAUUAGUCAAGGACGCACAUGGCACCAUGGAGGUGAUGUUGAUCAACGUCAUACGGGACGUUCUCGGCAGCCAUUGGAGAAGGUUUGAAAGAAGAAAGGAGAAAGAAGAAGAAGUUAAGGAUUCGAAAUAAAUUGGAGUAUGAAUUAGGAAUGAAAGACAUAACUAAAAACGCGGUUUGGGUUAUUUCCGGAGGCCCAAAAUAGCCCAUUUUUACAUCAAUAUAUAUCCGGAUAUCCAAUUGAUAAUUAUCGGGUAAUUUUAAAUUUUUAACCCGAUUCAAUAGAUUUAAAAGUCAUCUUUAACCUUAAUGAUAUGUGUUAAGAUAAAUUUCGACUGGGGCAUUUUCGGGCAAUGAGAAAGUUGUACUUCUCUUUUACUAAUAU